rnacentral:rRNA from 1 species
GAUGAACGCUGGCGGCGUGCCUAAUACAUGCAAGUCGAGCGAACGGACGAGAAGCUUGCUUCUCUGAUGUUAGCGGCGGACGGGUGAGUAACACGUGGAUAACCUACCUAUAAGACUGGGAUAACCUCGGGAAACCGGAGCUAAUACCGGAUAAUAUUUUGAACCGCAUGGUUCAAAAGUGAAAGACGGUCUUGCUGUCACUUAUAGAUGGAUCCGCGCUGCAUUAGCUAGUUGGUAAGGUAACGACUUACCAAGGCAACGAUGCAUAGCCGACCUGAGAGGGUGAUCGGCCACACUGGAACUGAGACACGGUCCAGACUCCUACGGGAGGCAGCAGUAGGGAAUCUUCCGCAAUGGGCGAAAGCCUGACGGAGCAACGCCGCGUGAGUGAUGAAGGUCUUCGGAUCGUAAAACUCUGUUAUUAGGGAAGAACAUAUGUGUAAGUAACUGUGCACAUCUUGACGGUACCUAAUCAGAAAGCCACGGCUAACUACGU